UACGAAGGGGGCUAGCGUUGCUCGGAAUUACUGGGCGUAAAGGGCGCGUAGGCGGCGACUCUAGUCAGAUGUGAAAGUCCUGGGCUUAACCUGGGGACUGCAUUUGAUACUGGGUUGCUUGAAUUCGGGAGAGGAUAGCGGAAUUCCCAGUGUAGAGGUGAAAUUCGUAGAUAUUGGGAAGAACACCGGUGGCGAAGGCGGCUAUCUGGACCGACAUUGACGCUGAGGCGCGAAAGCGUGGGGAGCAAACAGG
rnacentral:rRNA from 1 species